AUGGACGGCAACAAGGACGACGCUGUCAAGGCCAUGCGCAUCGGCAAGAACGCCCUCGACGCCGGCGAUACCGCCCGCGCCCUCAAGUUUCUGUCUAAGGCCAAGCGGCUGGACCCCUUGCUCCCCAUCGACCACCUCCUCAACCCCCUCCUCAACAAGGAUGACCCGUCCUCCUCACCGGCCUCGUCAUCAUCGUCAUCUGCCCCACAUCCCCCACCGCCUCCGCCAUCGCGAGCUGCAUCAUCAGCAGCCGGUGCUGACGGCUUGAGGGAAAGGAAGCAGAAGAGCAAGAAGAAGGAUGGGGAGGAGGGUGGCGGUGAUACUGCUGGGGUGAGGACGUACACGGAGGAGCAGCUGGAGGUGGUCCACCAGAUCAAGAAGCACGCUAGGGAUUACUACAAGAUCCUGGGCCUCGAAAAGGACUGCACUGUCGAGGACGUGCGCAAAGCCUACCGCAAGCUCUCUCUCAAGGUGCACCCUGACAAGAACAAGGCCCCUGGUGCCGAGGAUGCCUUUAAGGCUGUCUCCAAGGCCUUCCAGUGCCUCAGCGAUGCAGAGAGCCGCAAGCACUUCGAUCUUGUUGGUUCUGAUGACCCGCCGGCAUACAACAGGAGGGCGGCAUCCACUGCCCGUUCAUACAAUGGGUUCUACGAAGAUGACAUUGACCCGGAUGAGAUAUUCAGGAACUUCUUCUUUGGUGGGAUGGCUCCUGCCACCACCAGGCAGUUUGGGCAGUUUGGGACGUUUCAUUUCAGGACUGGCAGGAUGCAUCAUGCUCAUGGUGCGCAGCAGGGUUCUGGUGGCUCCACUGUCCGUAUGCUUGUUCAGCUGUUGCCUGUCCUGCUGCUUCUGUUGCUCAACUUCCUGCCAUCCUCUGAGCCAGUCUACUCCCUAUCCCGCUCCUACCCUUAUGAGCACAAAUUUCAAACUCAACGUGGAGUAACAUACUAUGUCAAGCUGCCUAAUUUUGAGGAUCAGUAUCCACACCAGAGCACUGAGCGUACAACACUGGAGCGGCAUGUUGAGAGGGAUUACUACUCGAUAAUAACACAAAAUUGUAGGGUUGAGCUGCAGCGUCGCCAAUGGGGGCUAGCCUACCAGACACCACACUGUGAUAUGCUUCAGAAGUUUGAGGCAACAGCACAGUAA
rnacentral:rRNA from 1 species